rnacentral:lncRNA from 1 species
UCCUCUGGCCUCCCAUUUGGGUGCGUGUAAAAGCAUCUUUCAGUCAAGAAAGGGGAAGAGACAGUGUCCUCUUGCUGCUCUUUCUUUGUGGUGUAUCUAUCCACACCACAUACAGAACUUGGUCUAGACAACCCAGCUGAUUUCUAAGCCUUGGAAACAGGAUCCUAUAGGGAGUUGUACAGGACAAACUGCUGCCUGCUGGGGAGAGGUGGAACUUAGGUGAUGAAGAAAUAGGAGUCCAUCACAUUGCACCAUACACCAGCCUAGUGAAAAGAGGGCUUUAUGCUCAGUUUGAAAGAGGCCAGUGCAAAAGUAACCUAGGUAAGUAAAAAUUAAGGAACACAUAGAAGAAAAACAUUGGAAAGUUUAAAAGAGCA